AAAGAUAGUUAAACCCAUCAAUACCAAGAGCCUUAGUAGGGUUUAUAGCAAACACUGCUUGGUGAAUCUCUUCAGUAGUAACAUCAGCAAUUAAAGAGUCAUUCAAGGCUUGAGUGAUGCGAGGUUGAAAAGUAGACAAAGUGUUGGCAUCAAUUAGAGGAUUGCUAGAAGUACAAAUUCUAUGGAAGUAAUCUAUGGCCACUACUGUAACCUUUGUUCGACCAGAUUUCCAAACACCUAAAGAAUCUUUGAUAUUGAGAAUAGAGUUUUUUUUUUUUU
rnacentral:misc_RNA from 1 species